UACAGAGGUCUCAAGCGUUGUUCGGAUUCAUUGGGCGUAAAGCGCGCGUAGGCGGCCAGAUAAGUCCGGUGUGAAAGUCACAGGCUCAACCUGUGAAUGCCGCUGGAAACUGUCUGGCUCGAGUCCGGGAGGGGCGAGUGGAAUUCCCGGUGUAGCGGUGAAAUGCGCAGAUAUCGGGAGGAACACCUAUGGCGAAGGCAGCUCGCUGGGACGUUACUGACGCUGAGACGCGAAAGCGUGGGGAGCAAACAGG
rnacentral:rRNA from 1 species